CAACCACUGAUUGUUUUACUGACCCUACAGUAUUGCCCUUUCCAGAAUGCCAUCCGAUUGGGAUACGGCCUUUUACAAUGGCUUCUUUCACUUCGCAGUUAUAAAAAGACUGCUGUGGAAGUGAAAACAACCUAAGUGUCCAUCGACAGGUGAGCCGAUAAGCAACACAAGUACUCAAAGUAAUGGGAGGAUCCACAUCGACUCUAACCAGAAAAUACAACUUUAAACAGUCUUACUCAUUAGUCCUGAUCAGAAGCCCAGCUGAAACAAAAUGACAAUAAAGAUGGACU